rnacentral:tRNA from 1 species
GGCAGGGUGGUGUAGAAGUUAAGUACAUGGACUUUGGAGCCGGAUUGCCUGGGUUUGAAUCUCAGCUCUGUCA